CGGUUAACAGAGGGAUGCAAAGCCGUGAGGCAGAGCGAACCCCCAAAAGCCGUCCCAGUUCGGAUCGCAGGCUGCAACCCGCCUGCGUGAAGUCGGAAUCGCUAGUAAUCGCGGAUCAGCAUGCCGCGGUGAAUACGUUCCCGGGCCUUGUACACACCGCCCGUCACACCAUGAGAGUCGGGAACACCCGAAGUCCGUAGCCUAACUUUAACGAGGGGGCGCGGCCGAAGGUGGGUUCGAUAAUUGGGGUGAAGUCGUAACAAGGUAUC
rnacentral:rRNA from 1 species